rnacentral:rRNA from 1 species
UACAGAGGGUGCGAGCGUUAAUCGGAAUGACUGGGCGUAAAGGGCGCGUAGGUGGAUGUGUGUGUUGGAUGUGAAAGCCCCGGGCUCAACCUGGGAAUUGCAUACAAAACUGCACAUCUAGAGUAGAGCAGAGGUAAGUGGAAUUUCCGGAGUAGCGGUGAAAUGCGUAGAUACCGGAAGGAACACCAGUGGCGAAGGCGACUUACUGGGCUCAAACUGACACUGAGGCGCGAAAGCGUGGGGAGCAAAC